rnacentral:rRNA from 1 species
UAGGGAAUCUUCGGCAAUGGGGGCAACCCUGACCGAGCAACGCCGCGUGAGUGAAGAAGGUUUUCGGAUCGUAAAGCUCUGUUGUAAGAGAAGAACGUGUGUGAGAGUGGAAAGUUCACACAGUGACGGUAACUUACCAGAAAGGGACGGCUAACUGCGUGUCAG